GGGCUCAUAGCUCAGUUGGUUAGAGCAGGGGACUCAUAAUCCCUUGGUCCUAGGUUCGAGUCCUAGUGGGCCCA
rfam:Gammaproteobacteria bacterium RIFCSPHIGHO2_12_FTLL_36_30 rifcsphigho2_12_scaffold_259, whole genome shotgun sequence.